rnacentral:rRNA from 1 species
GACAGAGGGUGCAAACGUUGUUCGGAAUUACUGGGCGUAAAGCGCGUGUAGGCGGCCCUGCAAGUCGGAUGUGAAAUCCCACGGCUCAACCGUGGAAGUGCAUUCGAAACUGCAGGGCUAGAGUCCUGGAGAGGAAGGUGGAAUGCUUGGUGUAGAGGUGAAAUUCGUAGAUAUCAAGCGGAACACCGGUGGCGAAGGCGGCUCACUGGCCCGGUACUGACGCUGAGGUGCGAAAGCGUGGGGAGCAAACAGG